rnacentral:lncRNA from 1 species
CCUGUUCCAAGUCAGGAAUAUGACAGUUAUUGUCCAUUCGUUUGAGGUGUUUUAUUAUUUGAUUUUGCCUUUUGAUUAGGAACUUUCCGUUUUGAAUUUUCCUCGAAGUUCAGUAUUUUUGUGAUUUUACUUUUUAUUAACCAUAAUGAUAAUGAAUGAUAUGUUACUCAGUUCGUUACCAUCUGACAUUUUGAAGCUACUUCAGUCAAUCUCAUCAUUAAUAUCAAAUUUCAAACUUCCCCCUGAUUUAGUAUAUAUCCAUAUACAGCACAGUUAAAGUACCACACACUAUCAAGUUGACAAAUAUCACAGAGUCUAGCAAUCCAUGUUGCAUCUUGUUACAUCAUCAACUCAUAUAUAAAUAUAUAUAUUGUAACAUCAUCAACUAAAAUAUAAAUUCAUUGUUUAGUCAUGUUUUUUUUUUCUAUUCUUCCAUAAUGCGGUAUUUCACUUCAGAUUUGAAAAGAUUUAGGAAACCUGGUCUAUAUUCUCCUUAUUUACCUGAUAUCCUAUAAAAAUCUUGGAUUUUCUCAUGUAUAAUGGUGACCUUUAUAGUGUCUUUCCCGAUUUUCUUUUUUACGAUCUUUCUCCGAUUUUUAUCCUUGUCUUCUACCAUGUUGGAAUGUUUUGUAUCACGUUGUUUAUUGAACACCUUGCACAGCCAUCUUACAAAGCACAGGACAAAUGAAAUAGCUACUAUUAUUCCUACAAACAAUCCGACUUCCAUGAUAGCAAAAUUAGGUUUUUGCUUUUCAUGUUCUUGUUCCUCCUGACUUC